CGUGAGAGGUGUUGCUUGACAUUGGGACUCACCACUAAGCUGAUUGCUUUGAGACAUCAUCUCAUUAUGCAACCCAGUCUGGUCUUGAAUUUAUGGUCCUCCUGCCUCAGACCCCUGAGUGCGCCAUCAGGUCCCGCUCCCAAUAUUCAAAGCUCAGAACGAAAGAAAUCCACUGGUGGGACACAAAAUGUGAUGUAACG
rnacentral:lncRNA from 14 species